rnacentral:rRNA from 1 species
AUUGAACGCUGGCGGCAGGCCUAACACAUGCAAGUCGAGCGGAAACGACUUAACUGAACCUUCGGGGAACGUUAAGGGCGUCGAGCGGCGGACGGGUGAGUAAUGCCUAGGAAAUUGCCUUGAUGUGGGGGAUAACCAUUGGAAACGAUGGCUAAUACCGCAUAAUGCCUACGGGCCAAAGAGGGGGACCUUCGGGCCUCUCGCGUCAAGAUAUGCCUAGGUGGGAUUAGCUAGUUGGUGAGGUAAGGGCUCACCAAGGCGACGAUCCCUAGCUGGUCUGAGAGGAUGAUCAGCCACACUGGAACUGAGACACGGUCCAGACUCCUACGGAGGCAGCAGUGGGGAAUAUUGCACAAUGGGCGCAAGCCUGAUGCAGCCAUGCCGCGUGUAUGAAGAAGGCCUUCGGGUUGUAAGUACUUUCAGCAGUGAGGAGGGAUGUACGUUAAUAGCGUGCUCUUUGACGUUAG